UACGGAGGGUGCGAGCGUUGUCCGGAAUCACUGGGCGUAAAGGGCGCGUAGGUGGCGCGGGUAGUCAUCGGUGAAAGCUCAGGGCUCAACCCUGAGUCGGCCGGUGAUACUCCCGUGCUUGAGUGUGGUAGAGGCCAAUGGAAUUCCGGGUGUAGCGGUGGAAUGCGUAGAGAUCCGGAAGAACACCGGUGGCGAAGGCGGUUGGCUGGGCCACAACUGACACUGAUGCGCGACGGCGUGGGGAGCAAACAGG
rnacentral:rRNA from 1 species